rnacentral:rRNA from 1 species
UACGUAGGGCGCAAGCGUUGUCCGGAAUUAUUGGGCGUAAAGAGCUCGUAGGUGGUGUGUCGCGUCUGCCGUGAAAGCCCGGGGCUUAACUCCGGGUCUGCGGUGGAUACGGGCAGACUAGAGGCAGGUAGGGGAGAACGGAAUUCCCGGUGUAGCGGUGAAAUGCGCAGAUAUCGGGAGGAACACCUGUGGCGAAAGCGGCUCACUGGACCAUAACUGACGCUGAGGCACGAAAGCUAGGGGAGCAAACAGG